rnacentral:rRNA from 1 species
ACGGAGGGUGCAAGCGUUAAUCGGAAUUACUGGGCGUAAAGCGCGCGUAGGCGGCUUGAUAAGUCAGAUGUGAAAGCCCCGGGCUCAACCUGGGAACUGCAUUUGAUACUGUCUAGCUAGAGUAUGGUAGAGGGGGGUGGAAUUCCCGGAGUAGCGGUGAAAUGCGUAGAUAUCGGGAGGAACACCAGUGGCGAAGGCGGCCCCCUGGACCAAUACUGACGCUGAGGUGCGAAAGCGUGGGGAGCAAACAGG